UCUGGUCAUUUAGAGGAAGUAAAAGUCGUAACAAGGUUUCCGUAGGUGAACCUGCGGAAGGAUCAUUAUUGAAUAAAACUUGAACAGGUUGUUGCUGGCUCCUUGAGGCAUGUGCACGCUUGUCAUUUUUACUUCAUUUCUCCUCUGUGCACCAACUGUAGGUCUGGAGUUUUUUGAAAUUCUGUUUCGAUCGAGGACUUGCUGUGCCUUUCCUUGCAUCUCCAGGUCUAUGCUUUUUUACAAUCCCUCAAUGUGUUUGGAAUGUCGAAUUGUGAAUAUAUAUAAUUUAUAUACAACUUUCAGCAACGGAUCUCUUGGCUCUCGCAUCGAUGAAGAACGCAGCGAAAUGCGAUAAGUAAUGUGAAUUGCAGAAUUCAGUGAAUCAUCGAAUCUUUGAACGCAUCUUGCGCUCCUUGGUAUUCUGAGGAGCAUGCCUGUUUGAGUGUCAUGAAGUUCUCAACCAUAUUGAUUUGCUUCAAUGUGGAUUGGAUGAUGGGGGUUUGCAGGCCUUUAGAAAGGUCUGCUUUCCUAAAAUAAAUUAGUGGUGUCUGAGCAGAGACUACUGCAGGUGUGAUAAAUUAUCUAUGCCUUUUGUAAAAUGCUGCGCAAACUGCUUCAAAUCUCAUUGUUGACCAAUUUGACCUCAAAUCAGGUAGGACU
rnacentral:rRNA from 1 species